UUUGACCGGUUUGAAUGGUGUCACGAAAGUUCUUCUGUUUUAAAAAAACACUCAAGGAAAUUGAAUUUGUAGUGAAGAUGCUACAUUAAAAUUGUUAGACGAGAAGUCCCCAUGGAGCUUUACUGAAAGCCUAAAAAAAAUUUUUUAUUUAUUUAUAGGUUAGACAGUUUUGUUGGGGUGAUAGUUUUUUAAAAAGUAACGAAAACGAACUAUGACGCAUGUUUCACUCUGAAAACUUGAAGAGACAUUUGGGGUGUGUUUUAUGAUCUAUUGUUUUGAAUGAAAAAGAUAAUGAAAGCAGAUAAAAG
rnacentral:rRNA from 1 species